CGCCCUUGGACUUGUUGUCGGUGGCGUCGUCCUCCAGCUUCUGCAGCUCGUUCCUCAGCGGCUCCACGCGUUUGAGCAUGUCCGCAUAGUUCAGCUGUCACACACGCCGCAACACGGGUCACAGGCAUCAGCAUUUUUAGCAUGAUGAAGGCAAAUGACUGAAGUCAUGGACAUGUGCAGUAGCUCAACACCAAGUUUACACAGGAGUGACCACCCACCUCAUAGUCGAUGAUUGGCACAUUGGGAGCAGAUGGGAGGGGCACAGUGGUGAUGCGGCGGAUGUACUCUCCAAGCUCCGCCCGGAUUUUCAGUCUGCCAUCUCCAGAGAAGG